AAUCCUAGAGCCGAAGGAAAGGGGGAGCAGAAGGAGAGGAAGAAGAUAAGUUGUUCGGCAGGCAACGGAGUGGGAGCCCGGAGCCCGGAGCCGGGAGCUGUAUAUCAUUGCUACUGAGUUUUAGAUCCUCCAGGGGCGAAGAAAAGACAGAAUCCAUCGACAUCUGUGCUGAGGUGCGGUGGUCGUGUCCUGCUCGGCAAGUGAGCCAUGGCAUGAAAAUUUUAGCAGUAGUACCUGAUUCAGCUCCUCCGCAAAAGCUGUUUAUGCAAGUGACGAAGAGUGAGAUUAGCGUGCAGUUGAAUACAUUUCUUAGCAAUCCGUUCAUAUGAUGCAGACCAUAAUCUUGUAAACUCAUCAAACCUGAAAAAUGGCAUUAUCCUUGCCCAUGUCAAUGCAACGAGAUAAAUCCUUCAUUUCCUUUAAUCACAAUGUCCUCAGCUCAGUGCCUCUGUGGAUGCCUAAAACCAUUCAUAGAAAGGGUAACAAUAAAAAGAUCCUUACUAUGUCCAUCUCUUGUUUGUCUAUAAAGAUUGUCCGUAGUCCUUCGCUGGACAAACAUGCUGAGAAGCAAAACAGGAUUCGGUUUGUUCAAAAGCUUAAAACGCUACUCCUUUCUAAGCCAAAACACUACAUGCCACUGCACAUUCUUUCCAAGUGUCGCUCCUAUUUGUCCCUCUCUAAAUCUCAUUCACUUCUGUCAAUGAUCCGCCGUUACCCUGCCAUUUUUGAACUCUUCAGCCUACCAUUACCACCUACACCAUUCAAUGCAGCCACAUCGUGCUCUCAACUUUGUGUCCGCCUAACCCCGGCAGCAGCAGCCCUUGCUGCUCAAGAAUCCAAACUCAAAUUGGACAUAUCCAUCACCUUGGCUACCAAACUCCAGAAACUUCUCAUGCUUUCCUCUCACCGUCGGCUCCUCUUGUCAAAGCUAGUUCAUCUAGCCCCUGAUCUUGGCCUCCCCCCUAACUUCCGUUCCCGCCUUUGCAAUGACCACACAGAUAAAUUCAAAACUGUUAACACCUCCUAUGGCCGUGCGCUUGAGCUUGUCUCAUGGAAUCCAGACCUGGCCAAUCCUUUUCCCUCUCGAAGUGUUGAGUCACUUGGAUUCAUAAUGGACAGGCCUUUGAAAUUCAAGCACUUAAGACUCAGAAAGGGGUUGAAUUUGAAGAGACGCCACCGUGAUUUUUUGAUCAGAUUUGAAGAAUUGCCAAAUGUGUGCCCAUAUAACACUGCACCUGGGGAGUUGGCCAAAGAGUCCAUUGAGUCCGAGAAGAGGUCUUGCAGCGUAGUGAGAGAAGUGUUGGGGAUGAUGGGUGAGAAGAGGACUUUGGUGGACCACCUAACACAUUUUAGGAAGGACUUUGGGCUGCCCAACAAGUUGUGGGCAAUGCUGGUGAGACAUCCUGAGUUAUUUUAUGUGAGUCCAAAGGGGCAGAGGGACUCUGUAUUCUUGGUGGAGGCUUUUGACGAUAAGGGGGUGCUUCUUGAGAAAGAUGAAAGCUUGGUGUAUAAGGAUCGGUUGCUGGAGUUGAUUAGGGAAGGAAAGAGGAUGAGACGAGAAUGGAGAAAGGGUAAUGUUAAGGGUGCUUGUGUUGAUAAGGACAAUGAUGUACAUGAUAAUGAGGUCUCUGAUGAGGAUGUCAGUGGUGAUUAUGAAUACAUUGAUGGUUUUGAGGAUCUGUUUGAGUGUGAGGAUGUCAUUGUUGAACAUGAUAAUGAUGAUGACGAGGACACUAAUGAGGAAGGGAAGUUCUGGACUGCAGAUGCUUCAUUCUUUCUUGAUGGCAAGGUUGGGGGACAUCUGCGCUCGUGGUAAAAUGGAUGUCACCAAUGCCUUAUCUUGUCAAAGAACAUAAAACAUCGAGCUGCAUCUGCUGGGGGUAUCAAGGCUUGAUAUACACAUUUUUGGACACAACCUUAAAGCCUAAAAUUUUAUCUUUAACAACUUAACUGUGUGUGGUUAAAAAUAAUUCUAGAGGCCAGUUUUUUGGAAUUUUAUAUGCAUGUCUGUUAAAACUAUUAUAAAAGUUAUUUUUUCAUACAGCAUUUGCUUACUGUCUAAGAUAGUCUUAGCAUAAUUUUCCUUUGACUCAGCUGCUCAAUUGGUUUCACUUGUUCACACACAGACAUUAAUAGAACUGAGCACUGGUGGUACAGAAAAUCUAUUGUAGAUGCCAAAACUGGGGCGGGGGGGGGGGGGGGGGUGGGGGAGAAACUAAUCUUGACAGAGUGAGAGGUGAGAUGUGGCUGGGAUUUUAGAAACCAUGUUCCAACGUAAGAAAUGUGAGCUAUAAUUUCAAACCAUAAGACAUGUCAUCACAGGAGAACUCAUCCAGUGAGAUGUUCAUGCCAUAUCAUAUGGCUGAUGCAUGCCUCAUUAGAUAUCAUGAAAUGUGGAAAAAAUGGAGAUGGCAUUGUUAGGCUCAUCACUCUCCUCAAAAUCCUGCCAGAGACAUGCCUAAAAUUACUUUUGAAGCUUAAAAGAUGAACUAUCAAAACAAGAGUAAAAUUAUUCGAAUUUUUUUGGUCCUUAAUCUGGAGAGAACUGGCUUGCUCUGUGGGAAUGAAGAUGGUGAUGUGUUGGCAAUAAGGCUACAUUUGCUGCUGUUGGUUGCUCUCAAGCCCAGAUUAACAGAUUAAAUGAUUCCGACAAUAUUUUAGGCAGCUGAUCCAGGCAGCAGAAAGGCACUUAGUGCCUCUUCAUUAUCGGUGUUUCAGUCUAUCCGUGUUAGCAUCAGUGAUUAUCAAGCUGAAAUAGAAUCUGGAUCAGGAAACAGGUUGUUUUAGAACCGUUAUCCUGGACAUCAAGAAAGAAGGGAAAAUUCCCUAUAGUUAAGCUCCUGCAACAGACAAUGCACGGAAAAAGCAAGAAAUUUCUCGUUGAUGGCUUUCCACAUAAUGAAGAAUUUUGAUUGCCUUUGAGAACAGUUGAAGGGAAGACUAGGUGCAACGGUAAAGUUGUCACUGUGUGACUGGAGGUCAUGGGUACGAGGUGUGGAAACAGCCUCUUGCAAAAAUGCAAGGAAUCCUUGUUCCUCUUCGGAUCCAAACUCAUGUAUGAGCGCUCUGAUGAUGCCAUGGCAGGUCAAAGAUGGUUUGUCACAAGAUUGAACAAUGUGAUUUGUUUUGCUUGGCUAAUUUUUUUCAUGUUGGACUGCUAAAUGAUGUUAGUAUGGGCUGGAAUUUUGAAUCUGUAAACUUGUCUGGACUCUAAUUUUUAUAAAUUAUGGUUCAUAUUACUUGAUAA